AUAUUAAAUCUGAUUCUUUCUAUGACCUCCUAUUUCCAGAAGAAUUUGGUCCAAGUAGAAGAUGUUUUCUACCCUCCUAGAAAUGGGGCCAAUGCUUUCAUAGACAUUAAAUUCCAUCUUCCCAGAAUCUUAGUGCAACUUGCCCUGAAUGGACUGCACAGCUUCUUCCUCCAGACUGGCAGAUUUCUGAGUUGAAUCAUUCUAGUGCAGGAGUGUCUAUUUUUAUUUUAUAAAGGCUAAAAUUGUUUGAAAAAAAAUAAUGCUCUGGAGUUGGAAAAAACAACAAAAAAGAAUAAUAAGAAGUUGAAGAGAAGAGGGAUGAAGAAGAAAAGAAGAAAAAGAAGUCAACCUCCUGAUCCUCGAAUUCUACAAACUGCUAACAAUGAAUCAAUGAGUGCCUUCUUGGAUUCCAAUUCCUGACAUGCCUUUGAGAGUUGAAGAAUUAAAUGUUGUAUUCUGGUACUAUUUAUUUGAUGUCACUUAUUUUGAGACUAUAUUUAUUCUCUGUUAGUAGGAAGAGGAAAAUAUAUAAAAUUGUUCUGAAUUGAUUUUGGAUUAGGGAAUUAAUUAUUUAAAGAGAACGCUCUUGGAAACUUUAUGAACUACAAUAGCCAAGUAUCAGAAAAACAAAAAACAUGUCAAGAUUUAAAAAAAAAAAGUGUGUGUGUUUAAAAGUUAAUUUGGAUUAGAUGCUAAGGUCAAGCAGUACUGAAAAUCCUAUGAAAAAGUGAUUAGAUACCUUGCAAGAUGUAAGACAAAUGAGAGAAACCUUUGGAUGACAGGGGUAAUAUUGUUACUACUGUGCUAAUUACUGUGGAUGAUACAGCAGUGCAUGACUUGGACAAAAAAAAAAAAAAAGCUCUUCAGGUCAGAAUAAGAUAUGAACUAAGAAUGACAAGUGUCUUCACAUUUCUAAAUAUGCUGAUCCAAAAAGUCACUUGUCCAUAAGUGUCUGAUGUUUUUAACUAUCUGGAUCAAUUAGUACUUAACUAAUCCAUUAGUACUUAACUAAUCAAUCUUUCUCUUAUUAUAACUCACCUUCAAAACAAGGAGAGAUAUAGAACUUUCAGGGACCUGGGCUAUAAUAAUAUAGUAAUAUGAAAUCCCAGUUAUAAAAUAUUGCUACUCUCAACCCAAACUUAGGAUUCUCUCAAAAAUAUCUAGUGCUUUGCCAAAAUCUCAA
rnacentral:lncRNA from 1 species